UGACGGUAGUAUUGGUAACCUAGCAACCAACAGUAAACAAAAGGCACGUUUGGAAAACGGAGACAGGUAGUCACGAUGGGGCAAGUUAUUAAUUUAUUAGCAGUGCAGCUUGUAAUUGCCAGAAUGCUGUGCAGUGUGCACAGAAGAUAGAAUGCAGCAUUUUUGAUGAGGGUACUAGCAGCAAGGACAUUGCUACGACGUCGAGCCCCAUAUGGUAGACAAAAACAGCGGAAACAGCUACAGGAAACGAGCCCUGUCUAAGAGCCAGAAGGGACAGAUGGAUGAACAGAAUGAAGAAACUGGCCUUAAAUAGAAAAGCUACGAGGGUCAAUCCAGUCUUCUCUUCACAUACACUUACUAAUAUCAAACACCAUGAUCCCUAAAUCAUCUAGAAGAGUAAACACACAGUAAAAACAUACCCCCCUGCCUAUUCUGUAUGUGGCACCACGUUAAAUGUUUCUUCUGCCUAUCGCAUACAAUUUAACAUGCUGCUGCUGCUAGUGAAUGGUUGACUUAACUCCUCUUUUAAAUUAAUGCAUGCGUGAAAUGUUUAUGAACACCUAUGAAGCUUGUUUUACAUAACAUGACUUUUGACACCUGUUAAACAAAUUAUAUAUACACAACCAUCUUU